CAGAUCCACCCCGAGCCCAUCGAUCCGCCGCCCACCUUCGCCCGGCUAAGCAUUCUUCGUCGAUGUCGUCUUCGAUUCGUCGUCCAUCUGUAGGUCGGGGAUGCAUCACGCGCUGCAUCCCCAGGUGACCCGCGGUGGCGGUGCCAUCCACUCCUGACCCUUCGAGAUCUGCAGGUUCUCCACCUUCCCACCUUCUGGCGGCGAUUCCCGCGACGUGCUUUGGGGCGGGGCGGCUGGGUGGCCAUGGAAGGUGACGAGACGAGGUGGGAAAGUGGGGCGCUGAGCACCAGAACUGCAACCCGAACCUCCCCGCAUCCGGAUCCGGCCGCCCGUGUCCAGGAACAUUCCCCCCAUCUCGUUUCCCUCCUAUAGGCUCCUGGUUUAGCUAUUUCUUCCCUUUUAACCGUCCGUCUCUGCAUGUUCCUUCCAGAUAAUGAACCGCAUCGGCAGGUGGUGGAGGUGAAAUGAGAUGAGGAAGGCGAUUGGAGAGCACCACCAGCAUUUAUUAGUGUUGAGAUCCAUCUCCGCAGGUUGUUGAAUGGUUUAUAGAGAGCUACAAGAUGUUCUUCCUGGGAUCAUCACCCAAUUGAGAGCACCUGAACAUGAUUGCUAAAGAGAUGCAGGUGGCUUUCUUGAAGAUCUUGUUCCCGUCCUGGAGAGAAUUUUGAAGAACAGCCUGAUCAUAGGCUCUGCCAGUAGUAGUGAUCUAUGCCUGACCUGACCGCUACAAGGUCAUGGUUUUCUAUGACGACCAUGUUUGGAUUCUUUUCUUAGACCUUCUGUGUAUUGUAUAUUUAAUUUUGGCGGUCAUCUCUGAAAAUGU